ensembl:lncRNA
CGCAAACAAGCUACAAAUCCAGCUAGCGGGGGCGCGGUCUUCUUGCAGUUGUAGACAGUGGUACACGCGCGUUAUCGUCAGCAGCGACUCUCCCAGAGCCCUGGUGGGCAUCGGUCACUGCUGGAAAUAUGAUGAGACUGGAAGAAGGACGGUUCAUUACACAUUAUCUAUUGUGUAACCUGAGAGAUGAGAAUCCCCGUCGCCUUUCCUGUCUUCUGUAAAGGAGGCUGGACCGCAUCCGCAGGGAGAUGUCAACGGACUCCGUGGCCGGGCAGGCUGAGCCAGCCGAGCCCUCCCUGCCCUCCACCCCGCCCCCCUGGGAUCUGGAGCCCCCGCCCUCCUAUGACACGGUGAUGAAGUGCCAGGAGCAUGCCUCACAGGAGAUAUGACCUGUGACACUCCCCUAUCCCUCCCUCACCCCCUUCCCUCCCUUUCUCCCAGAGGAAGAAGAAAACCACAGGGACAGGAAUCCAUGAGUCAUGAACCCAGCCUGAGACGACGAACCGUCGUCAGCUGCAUUUCACCAGCAAAAAUUUUCACUCUUUGUGCCUUCCUGGGAACCACCAUCUUGAACACCAAACAAAGACAGAGGCGGGGCCUGCAAGCCAAGGGGACAAUCUGGGCUGAACAAAAAAUAGGGCUGUGAGGACACGAGACCUAGAUGGAUGAAACGUGGGAGGGGAAUUUAAUGUUUACCAUUUCCUGUGUUGCUCUAACCUCGCCCCAUCCCACUCGGGAGACCAGCCUUAUGUAACUUUUUAACCGUUGUUGACCCUAAAUGACAGUGCAGUUGGCUGUGAGCCCAGUAAACAGGUACUUUAUAGGCCCCACUGGAGGCUGUGCUAUGAACACCCCCCCCCCUUACACCCUACCCCCCCCCCCCCACACACACACACACACUUGCCCUUCUUGAACAUCUGCCUUCCAUCCCAGCCGUAUGGAUUGGUCUAGCUGCGUGCACGAGCUUACAAAGCAUUUUAUUACUGGUUUACUGGUUUAACCCAAAGCAAAUUGCCUUUUUGGCAGCAGUGUUGUUGUGCCGAGGUUUGUACUCAGGCUUUUUAAUUUCUUUUGAAAAAAUGACGGCCAGGGCCGGCCUGUGUGGAGAUGUUUCUGUGAGCAUGAGUUAACGACCAGUCUUCCACGAUCUCUGUGGGUGGUGCGUGUGAAGGAGAAGUAAUGGCUUGUUUAUGUGAAAUAAAAUACUGGUGGAGACCUAUAAAGAAAAAUAAAUAUGGC